rnacentral:tRNA from 1 species
UGCAUUGGCCGGGAAUCGAACCCGGGCCGCCCGCGUAGCAGGCAAGCAUUCUACCACUGAACAACCGAUGG